AAAAAUAUUUUGAAAGGGUUCAAGCACACGUGCGACCGCUCGCGUAGGCCUUGUGCUAAAAACCUUUUCUCUUUUAUAUAAAAAUACCAAAAAAAUAUAAAAUCUUCAAAAACUAAAAACAUCUUCAAACAACAAUCUUUCGGAAAGAACUACGUAACCCUGAUUUCUCAUUUUGAAUGAGAAUACGUAGGAGCAAGGUCAAUCCUUGUCGGGCCCAAAAACCUAAAAAAUAUUUUUGUUUUUUUAUUUUGUUGUUCUUGGGAUAGUUAAACAUUUUGCAAACCAUAUCUUUAUUCGCNCAUUUAAUUAAAGGUACUGCCUUAGGGCAGGCGUUGUAGGGUGCUAAUACCUUCCCUACACGUAACCGACUCCCGAACCCGAAAUUAAGUUUUCGUAGACCUUGCCUUAUCAUUUUAUGGUUUUUCCGUAGUUUU
rnacentral:lncRNA from 1 species